rnacentral:rRNA from 1 species
UACGUAGGGGGCAAGCGUUGUCCGGAAUCAUUGGGCGUAAAGAGCGUGUAGGCGGCCCGGUAAGUCCGCUGUGAAAGUCCAGGGCUCAACCCUGGGAUGCCGGUGGAUACUGUCGGGCUAGAGUGCGGAAGAGGCGAGUGGAAUUCCUGGUGUAGCGGUGAAAUGCGCAGAUAUCAGGAGGAACACCGAUUGCGAAGGCAGCUCGCUGGGACGUAACUGACGCUGAGACGCGAAAGCGUGGGGAGCAAACAGG